UUGGCCCACAUUGACAUGUUCACC
rnacentral:miRNA from 1 species